CGCACGCACUGCUUCAACUGGCACUCCCCCACGUACGAGUACGCUCUGAGGCAUCUGUACGUGCUGGCCAACCUCUGUGAGAAACCCUACCCCAUCGACAGAAUAAAAUGGUCCAUGGACAAGGUGUGCCUCGGCUACUACUGAAACGCUGCCGUCUCGCUGCUUUUCCAAGCGUGAACACCGUCCUGGGAGCGCGCUGACCGGAGGUGGACGGAGCGAGGGGAGGCCGGGCCUUUCGGAGGGCCUGCUCGCCUUUCCCCACCCGUCUCCUGCAGCCCCCGGGAGGCUCUGACACCUCAGGUUUGGCCGGGUUGAAGGGCCUGUUGGCUUCCCAAGAGGCUUUUUGCCUGUUUGUGUUAAGAGGCAAGGAGUUCGCGUGGGCUGCUGUAGCCAGCGAGAGACUCUGGGCUGAGGAGCUGGAAGCUGGAGCCUCGAGUCUUCAGGAUGGAAAGCUACUUUUAGAAAAUAAUACAAGUUUUGAUUGCUUUUUAUGUUUUAUUCCUCAAUAAUGGACAAUAAAGGUUGUAACUGAAG